GACGAACGCUGGCGGCAUGCUUUACACAUGCAAGUCGAACGGUAACAGGUUAAGCUGACGAGUGGCGAACGGGUGAGUAAUGCAUCGGAACGUGCCCGAUCGUGGGGGAUAACGCAGCGAAAGCUGCGCUAAUACCGCAUACGAUCUGAGGAUGAAAGCGGGGGACCGUAAGGCCUCGCGCGAUCGGAGCGGCCGAUGUCAGAUUAGGUAGUUGGUGGGGUAAAGGCUCAUCAAGCCAACGAUCUGUAGCUGGUCUGAGAGGACGACCAGCCACACUGGGACCGAGACACGGCCAAGAAUCCUACGGGAGGCAGCAGUGGGGAAUUUUGGACAAUGGGAGAAAGCCUGAUCCAGCAAUGCCGCGUGCAGGAAGAAGGCCUUCGGGUUGUAAACUGCUUUUGUACGGAGCGAAAAGGCUCUCUCUAAUACAGGGGGCUCAUGACGGUACCGUAAGAAUAAGCACCGGCUAACUACGUGCCAGCCGCCGCCGUAA
rnacentral:rRNA from 1 species